rnacentral:ncRNA from 2 species
CUCUUAUCAAGAGCGGCGGAGGGACUAGGCCCUGUGAUGCCCGGCAACCAGUAAUGACUUACAAAGGUGCUAAUUCCUACAGAUUCGAAUCGGGAUCUGAAAGAUAAGGG